UAGUGGCAGACGGGUGAGUAACGCGUGGGAACGUACCUUUCGCUACGGAAUAGCUCUGGGAAACUGGUGGUAAUACCGUAUACGCCCUUCGGGGGAAAGAUUUAUCGGCGAAAGAUCGGCCCGCGUUAGAUUAGGUAGUUGGUGGGGUAAUGGCCUACCAAGCCUACGAUCUAUAGCUGGUCUGAGAGGAUGAUCAGCCACACUGGGACUGAGACACGGCCCAGACUCCUACGGGAGGCAGCAGUGGGGAAUCUUGCACAAUGGGCGAAAGCCUGAUGCAGCCAUGCCGCGUGAAUGAUGAAGGCCUUAGGGUUGUAAAAUUCUUUCGCCAGGGAUGAUAAUGACAGUACCUGGUAAAGAAGCCCCGGCUAACUUCGUGCCAGCAGCCGCGGUAAUACGAAGGGGGCUAGCGUUGUUCGGAAUUACUGGGCGUAAAGCGCACGUAGGCGGACUUUUAAGUCAGGUGUGAAAUCCCGGGGCUCAACCUCGGAACUGCAUUUGAAACUGGAAGUCUGGAGUUCAGGAGAGGUUAGCGGAAUACCGAGUGUAGAGGUGAAAUUCGUAGAUAUUCGGUGGAACACCAGUGGCGAAGGCGGCUAACUGGACUG
rnacentral:rRNA from 1 species